rnacentral:rRNA from 1 species
UGCAGUCGAGCGGUAAGGCCUUUCGGGGUACACGAGCGGCGAACGGGUGAGUAACACGUGGGUGAUCUGCCCUGCACUUCGGGAUAAGCCUGGGAAACUGGGUCUAAUACCGGAUAUGACCUCCUAUCGCAUGGUGGGUGGUGGAAAGAUUUAUCGGUGCAGGAUGGGCCCGCGGCCUAUCAGCUUGUUGGUGGGGUAAUGGCCUACCAAGGCGACGACGGGUAGCCGACCUGAGAGGGUGACCGGCCACACUGGGACUGAGACACGGCCCAGACUCCUACGGGAGGCAGCAGUGGGGAAUAUUGCACAAUGGGCGAAAGCCUGAUGCAGCGACGCCGCGUGAGGGAUGACGGCCUUCGGGUUGUAAACCUCUUUCAGCAGGGACGAAGCGCAAGUGACGGUACCUGCAGAAGAAGCACCGGCUAACUACGUGCCAGCAGCCGCGGUAAUACGUAGGGUGCAAGCGUUGUCCGGAAUUACUGGGCGUAAAGAGUUCGUAGGCGGUUUGUCGCGUCGUUUGUGAAAACCAGCAGCUCAACUGCUGGCUUGCAGGCGAUACGGGCAGACUUGAGUACUGCAGGGGAGACUGGAAUUCCUGGUGUAGCGGUGAAAUGCGCAGAUAUCAGGAGGAACACCGGUGGCGAAGGCGGGUCUCUGGGCAGUAACUGACGCUGAGGAACGAAAGCGUGGGUAGCGAACAGGAUUAGAUACCCUGGUAGUCCACGCCGUAAACGGUGGGCGCUAGGUGUGGGUUCCUUCCACGGAAUCCGUGCCGUAGCUAACGCAUUAAGCGCCCCGCCUGGGGAGUACGGCCGCAAGGCUAAAACUCAAAGGAAUUGACGGGGCCCGCACAAGCGGCGGAGCAUGUGGAUUAAUUCGAUGCAACGCGA